rnacentral:rRNA from 1 species
AAACAUCUAAGUACCCCGAGGAAAAGAAAUCAACCGAGAUUCCCCCAGUAGCGGCGAGCGAACGGGGAGGAGCCCAGAGCCUGAAUCAGUGUGUGUGUUAGUGGAAGCGUCUGGAAAGGCGCGCGAUACAGGGUGACAGCCCCGUACACAAAAAUGCACAUAUUGUGAGCUCGAUGAGUAGGGCGGGACACGUGGUAUCCUGUCUGAAUAUGGGGGGACCAUCCUCCAAGGCUAAAUACUCCUGACUGACCGAUAGUGAACCAGUACCGUGAGGGAAAGGCGAAAAGAACCCCGGCGAGGGGAGUGAAAAAGAACCUGAAACCGUGUACGUACAAGCAGUGGGAGCCUCUUAAUGGGGUGACUGCGUACCUUUUGUAUAAUGGGUCAGCGACUUAUAUUCUGUAGCAAGGUUAACCGAAUAGGGGAGCCGAAGGGAAACCGAGUCUUAACUGGGCGUUAAGUUGCAGGGUAUAGACCCGAAACCCGGUGAUCUAGCCAUGGGCAGGUUGAAGGUUGGGUAACACUAACUGGAGGACCGAACCGACUAAUGUUGAAAAAUUAGCGGAUGACUUGUGGCUGGGGGUGAAAGGCCAAUCAAACCGGGAGAUAGCUGGUUCUCCCCGAAAGCUAUUUAGGUAGCGCCUCGUGAAUUCAUCUCCGGGGGUAGAGCACUGUUUCGGCAAGGGGGUCAUCCCGACUUACCAACCCGAUGCAAACUGCGAAUACCGGAGAAUGUUAUCACGGGAGACACACGGCGGGUGCUAACGUCCGUCGUGAAGAGGGAAACAACCCAGACCGCCAGCUAAGGUCCCAAAGUCAUGGUUAAGUGGGAAACGAUGUGGGAAGGCCCAGACAGCCAGGAUGUUGGCUUAGAAGCAGCCAUCAUUUAAAGAAAGCGUAAUAGCUCACUGGUCGAGUCGGCCUGCGCGGAAGAUGUAACGGGGCUAAACCAUGCACCGAAGCUGCGGCAGCGACACUAUGUGUUGUUGGGUAGGGGAGCGUUCUGUAAGCCUGUGAAGGUGGCCUGUGAGGGUUGCUGGAGGUAUCAGAAGUGCGAAUGCUGACAUAAGUAACGAUAAAGCGGGUGAAAAGCCCGCUCGCCGGAAGACCAAGGGUUCCUGUCCAACGUUAAUCGGGGCAGGGUGAGUCGACCCCUAAGGCGAGGCCGAAAGGCGUAGUCGAUGGGAAACAGGUUAAUAUUCCUGUACUUGGUGUUACUGCGAAGGGGGGACGGAGAAGGCUAUGUUGGCCGGGCGACGGUUGUCCCGGUUUAAGCGUGUAGGCUGGUUUUCCAGGCAAAUCCGGAAAAUCAAGGCUGAGGCGUGAUGACGAGGCACUACGGUGCUGAAGCGACAAAUGCCCUGCUUCCAGGAAAAGCCUCUAAGCAUCAGGUAACAUCAAAUCGUACCCCAAACCGACACAGGUGGUCAGGUAGAGAAUACCAAGGCGCUUGAGAGAACUCGGGUGAAGGAACUAGGCAAAAUGGUGCCGUAACUUCGGGAGAAGGCACGCUGAUAUGUAGGUGAAGCGACUUGCUCGUGGAGCUGAAAUCAGUCGAAGAUACCAGCUGGCUGCAACUGUUUAUUAAAAACACAGCACUGUGCAAACACGAAAGUGGACGUAUACGGUGUGACGCCUGCCCGGUGCCGGAAGGUUAAUUGAUGGGGUUAGCGGUAACGCGAAGCUCUUGAUCGAAGCCCCGGUAAACGGCGGCCGUAACUAUAACGGUCCUAAGGUAGCGAAAUUCCUUGUCGGGUAAGUUCCGACCUGCACGAAUGGCGUAAUGAUGGCCAGGCUGUCUCCACCCGAGACUCAGUGAAAUUGAACUCGCUGUGAAGAUGCAGUGUACCCGCGGCAAGACGGAAAGACCCCGUGAACCUUUACUAUAGCUUGACACUGAACAUUGAGCCUUGAUGUGUAGGAUAGGUGGGAGGCUUUGAAGUGUGGACGCCAGUCUGCAUGGAGCCGACCUUGAAAUACCACCCUUUAAUGUUUGAUGUUCUAACGUGGGCCCCUUACCGGGGUUGCGGACAGUGUCUGGUGGGUAGUUUGACUGGGGCGGUCUCCUCCUAAAGAGUAACGGAGGAGCACGAAGGUUGGCUAAUCCUGGUCGGACAUCAGGAGGUUAGUGCAAUGGCAUAAGCCAGCUUGACUGCGAGCGUGACGGCGCGAGCAGGUGCGAAAGCAGGUCAUAGUGAUCCGGUGGUUCUGAAUGGAAGGGCCAUCGCUCAACGGAUAAAAGGUACUCCGGGGAUAACAGGCUGAUACCGCCCAAGAGUUCAUAUCGACGGCGGUGUUUGGCACCUCGAUGUCGGCUCAUCACAUCCUGGGGCUGAAGUAGGUCCCAAGGGUAUGGCUGUUCGCCAUUUAAAGUGGUACGCGAGCUGGGUUUAGAACGUCGUGAGACAGUUCGGUCCCUAUCUGCCGUGGGCGCUGGAGAACUGAGGGGGGCUGCUCCUAGUACGAGAGGACCGGAGUGGACGCAUCACUGGUGUUCGGGUUGUCAUGCCAAUGGCACUGCCCGGUAGCUAAAUGCGGAAGAGAUAAGUGCUGAAAGCAUCUAAGCACGAAACUUGCCCCGAGAUGAGUUCUCCCUGACUCCUUGAGAGUCCUGAAGGAACGUUGAAGACGACGACGUUGAUAGGCCGGGUGUGUAAGCGCAGCGAUGCGUUGAGCUAACCGGUACUAAUGAACCGUGAGGCUUAACCUUACAACGCCGAAG